AUUGAACGCUGGCGGCAUGCCUAACACAUGCAAGUCGAACGAGUGGCGGACGGGUGAGUAAUGUCUGGGAAACUGCCCGAUGGAGGGGUAUAACUACUGGAAACGGUAGCUAAUACCGCAUACCAUCGGAUGUGCCCAGAUGGGAUUAGCUAGUGGGGGGGGUAACGGCUCACCUGGGCGACGAUCCCUAGCUGGUUUUAGAGGAUGACCAGCCACACUGGAACUGAGACACGGCCCAGACGCCUACGGGAGGCAGCAGUGGGGAAUAUUGCACAAUGGGCGAAAGCCUGAUGCAGCCAUGCCGCGUGUAUGAAGAAGGCCUUCGGGUUGUAAAGUACUUUCAGCGGGGAGGCGUUACUCGCAGAAGAAGCACCGGCUAACUCCGUGCCAGCAGCCGCGGUAAUAC
rnacentral:rRNA from 1 species